rnacentral:piRNA from 1 species
UUAUUUUGGUUGUCAUCUAAGUA